CAGCAGCCGCGGUAAUACGGAGGGUGCAAGCGUUAAUCGGAAUUACUGGGCGUAAAGCGCACGCAGGCGGUUUGUUAAGUCAGAUGUGAAAUCCCCGAGCUUAACUUGGGAACUGCAUUUGAAACUGGCAAGCUAGAGUCUUGUAGAGGGGGGUAGAAUUCCAGGUGUAGCGGUGAAAUGCGUAGAGAUCUGGAGGAAUACCGGUGGCGAAGGCGGCCCCCUGGACAAAGACUGACGCUCAGGUGCGAAAGCGUGGGGAGCAAACAGGAUUAGAUACCCGCGUAGUCCCUGUCUCUUAUAU
rnacentral:rRNA from 1 species